GGUCUGGCCGGGCGGUCCGCCGUUUCGGCGUGUACUGCUCUCGGGCCGGUCCUUUCCUUCUGGGGAACCGGCGCGUCCUCACGGGCGCGGCGGGGAGCCAGGACUUUUACUUUGAAAAAAUUAGAGUGUUCAAAACAAGCUUAUGCUUGAAUACAUUAGCAUGGAAUAACGGAAUAGGAC
rnacentral:rRNA from 1 species